rnacentral:lncRNA from 1 species
UUAGGGGUACAUAGUGUUUUAUUAUGGGAUCCACUAUUAAUCUUAACUAACCACGUUUGAUAGAUAUUCAUGAUCCACCUGUCAAGUGGGUGAAAGACAGAUUAUGAUAGAGUUAGACAAACUCUCGUUCACCGUGAUUAGUUAAAAUUUAGGGUACUUAGUGUUUUAAUUGGGAAUCCACUAUUAUUCUUAACUAACACACGACUUUUGAUAGAUAAUUGUUCAUAACUCACACCUGUCAAUGGUGAAAACCAAAAUUACUCGAAUCGAAAACCUUGCUAAUUAUGUGUAUAUGUGACACAAUUAAUCUUCUAGAAAACAUAAGGUUCCAUUUAGAUACAUAUAAAUUUCAAAUGAAGAAAAAAUUCUCAAAUUAGUAUUCUUAAUAAUUAAAUUUUCGAAUCCAUCUUUUAAGACUUUCACAACUCAAUGUUAAAAUCGAUCUAAACUUGAAGUACCAUAGUGUUUGAAUAAUUAUGUGACACUUGAAAAAGGAAAGGGUUAAAGUCUUGGCAUACAGAAAAAAAAACAAGGAAGGCAAAAGUCAAUAAUUACGGAGUUUCAAUUCAUCUUUUAGUUUCUAAUUCAUGUGAAUGGCAUUAGCGACAACUCCCAUUGGGACCUAUCCUGUACGAAUUUCUCUUUCCUAGCACCCUAUCCCAGCCCCUAACCUGCAACACCUGUCCCCCUUUCCGCCCCUAAUUACCUCAUUUCCCACUUGGUCCAUUGGAGUUGAGAUUUUAAGAAUUUAAGUCUUUGAACAAGUGAAUUGCUUGUAAUGGAUCUCUCUUUUUAUUAAUAAUUACCAUAAAAUUACGAAUACGCGGGACGAGGCGCUUUUAUACUAAAACUUAAUUCAUUUUACUAUUUAUAAUGAUAAGAUAAAAAAUAUUAAUUUUUAAAAAGUACAUUGCAAUAUUUUUUUCAUAUAAAAAAUCAAUGGUGUUGCUAAACUAUUCAUUUUUAGAAUCAUUUUCAUCUUUAAUGCAAUUUUUUGAGUCAAAAAUUUAUAGAAUUAGAAUUAUUUUUUAAAAAAAUAUCAAAUUUAUAUUUUCAUCCAAAAUUGGAUAUUUUUUAGUUUUGAUUAAUUGAACUUUAUAACUUUUUUAAACGAAAUGAGUUUUUUUAAGUUUUUUUUACUUUGAGAAUUUGAGAUAAAAGAGAAAAUUUUGUAAGAAUAAGUUAAAUGAAAUAAAAUGAGUAAAGACUCGAGACUAUGCCGUCAAGUUUUUAAAAAACAAAAACUUGAAAAAAAAAAGUUUUGAAUUAGAUUUAAAAUUUUUAUCUUUCUGGAUUUCUUUGGCAAGAAAAACCGAAUAAAUAAAUAUAAUUUUUUUAUCCACAUAGUGAAAAAGUUCAAAAAAAAACAAAAAAAAAAUCGGACCCCAACAAAACAGAUUAAAAAAAGCCAAAAACCAAAUACCCCUCACUUUUAAAAAAAUUCAAACUUAAAAAGUUUUUUUAAAAAACUUGAUCUUGAUAUGGUCUCGAGUCUUAUUUAUUUUAUUUAAUUUAAUAUUCUUAUAAAAUUCUCUAUCUUAUCUCAAAUUUCAAACUUAAAACAAAUUCAAAUCAAUUGUCAAGGACUCUAAAUCGAAAAAUCAAAACUUCAGUGGACCAAAGUGGGAAAAGGGGAGUAAUUGGGGGGAGAGGACAGGUGUCGGAGGCUGAGGGCUGGGACAGGGAUCCGGGUGCCGAAAGUCGGAUACAGAAAAAAAAAAAAAAGGAAAAGAAGAAGGAAAAAGUCAAUAAGACGGAGUGGCAAUUCAGUCUUUUAGUUCUAAAUUCCAUGUGAAUGACAUUAGCCGACAACUCCCAUUUCUGGUGAUGCAUGAUCGGUAUCCGUGGGAUGAUUACUCCCCAAAAAAAGAGCGCGCAGUUACUACGAAGUACAACUACGAGCCUAGGAAUCAUCAAAAGUUUUUAAGAAAAAAUUACACAACUGCCCAAAGUUUUUUAAAUAAAUAUAAAUAUCUUUUUUAUAAGUUUAAAAUAUUAUUAUUUUUUCUUAAUUUUAAAAACUAUUAUCAAAAAUUUUUUUCUUCCUUUAAUAUUCGUUGAUGUGAAAAUUCUAUGUCACCAUUUGCCUCAUAAUUCCAAACCUACCUUUAACAUGCACACUUAUUAUCACCAAUGUUAAAACUCCCACCUUAUCAACAAUCCAAGUCAAUGUACCACCACCAUGCUUGUAACAAACUAUGAGGAGCUCAUCCAAAAGGGUCACCAAAUAAGUGGACUAUAGUUUCACUCCGCUAACAUAUAUAACAAAAUAAAACACGUAGACUUUCGAUGUGGGUUGAGUCGUUACAAAUAUUUUUCUUUUUUAUAGUAUCGCGAGGGUGCAACAAUUAAUUAGUCAGAAUACCCCGAGCCAAACUCAGCAGUGACCUACUGUCGCGUGCAAAGAUUGGCUCGGAGACCAUAUUGAUGCAGAAUUAAAUAUAGUUAUUAUUAUAAUUAUUGUAUUUGAUCAUUAGUUUUUUUUUUUAGUUUAGGAUUU